rnacentral:rRNA from 1 species
UUACAGCUGUAGCAAUACAGUAUGUGCUUAGCGGCAAACGGGUGAGUAACACGUAGGCAAUCUGCCUCUUAGAGGGGGAUAGCCCGCCGAAAGGCGGGAUAAUACCGCGUAAGAAUACGGUCCGGCAUCGGAUUGUAUUGAAACAUCCGCAAGGAUGGCUAAGAGAGGAGCCUGCGUCCUAUCAGCUAGUUGGUGAGGUAACGGCUCACCAAGGCAACGACGGGUAGCCGGUCUGAAAGGACGGUCGGCCACACUGACACUGAGACACGGGUCAGACACCUACGGGUGGCAGCAGUGAGGAAUUUUGGACAAUGGGGGCAACCCUGAUCCAGCGACGCCGCGUGGAGGACGAAGGUCUUCGGAUUGUAAACUCCUUUUGUUUGGGACUAAGAAACCUGUAGAAAUACGGGGAGUGAAUGUACCAGAUGAAUAAGCCACGGCUAACUUCGUGCCAGCAGCCGCGGUAAUACGAAGGUGGCAAGCGUUACUCGGAAUUACUAGGCGUAAAGGGCAGGUAGGUGGUUCGGUAAGUCUGUUGUGGAAGCUCCCAGCUUAACUGGGAGAGGCCAACGGAAACUACCGGACUUGAGUGUAGGAGAGGGUAUUGGAAUUCCCGGUGUAGCGGUGAAAUGCGCAGAGAUCGGGAGGAACACCAAUGGCGAAAGCAGAUACCUGGACUAUUACUGACACUAAGCUGCGAAAGCUAGGGGAGCAAACAGGAUUAGAUACCCUGGUAGUCCUAGCUGUAAACGAUGCACAUUAGACGUGAGGGGUAUCGACCCCCUUCGUGUCGACGCAAACGCAUUAAAUGUGCCGCCUGGGGAGUAC